UUCCCCAGGCCCCGCUCUGGCUCUUCCCCAGGCCCUGCCCCUGCCUGCCCUGUUCCACCCUUGCCCUGGCUCUUCCCGCCCCUGCUCCACCCCUGGCUGCAGUAGGGUCAGUCUGUUUCUCACAGGAAGUGGCCAGCAGAGGCCUGGUGCCCCACACAGCCACCGCGGGGGGGGGGGGGGGUCUGCAUAGGGCACCAAAAUAGCUAGGGAUGGCCCAGACAGGAGUGGGCUGAUUUCAAUCUAGGAUUCUCCCUGAAAUGGCUGCUCCCAUUGGAGACCCCUUUUACCUCUUUCCCACCCCCAGUCUCUUUCUUUGGGUCAUGCUCUCCUCCCCGCCUGAAGCUCUUGCCCUUUGGAUAAAUAAUUAAUCGUUGGAACAGGGGGAGGGGAUCCUGGAUCUCUCAUCUCUCAGGUGGAUUUCUUAACCACCAGGUUUAGGGGCUAGAACUAGGGGGGCUGGGGGGGCUCCAACACCUCCUGGCUUGAAAUGGUUUCCAUCAUAUACAGGGUUUAGAGUCUGGUUCAAUGGCUCUCGGCACCCCUGCCACCACGCUCCAGCAUGUAUGUUUACACAGCACCUAGACACCCACUGACUCGAGGUGCAGGGCUGUUUCACUGCUGUGUAGGCUUCCUGGCUUGUGCUGGAGCCCAGCUCCAGGCCUCUACAAGAGCUGCUGGCCACCACUGGGGGCAGUUGGACCCAGCUGAGCCCAGCUCUCAAAUAGAAGACACGGCUGGGGGUGUGUGAGCUGGAGGUACCCUGGCAACUGCAGUUCUCAGCAUUCCCUGAAGGAAGGAGGUAGCAUGCAGGAAUCUCUACACAAGCGCUGGAUCCAGCAUCAGGCUGUUUUUCCCUCUGGAUCCCUUGGCUCUCAGAGGUAGGGGGUGUGGGUGUCUGGGCUGUGGGGAGAGCACCCUGCAGCUGGGCUCUGGUAGGGAGGGGUGUCUGAGCUGGGGGGUGCCCCAUGACUGGACUCGGGAAGAGGGGGCAGAGAAACGGGAACUGGGUUAUCAUAGUGAUUUCUUUAACUACUGGUGGAAUUAUUUUGUGUGUCUAUUGUUAUAGACUUGGUUGCUUACAGGUAUUUUGAAAUAAAUUACUAAAAUCAUUGAAACUGGCAUGAUUAUAUAAUGUUGUUUUGACAAAUAAAAUACACAAAUUUUUAAAA